GUGGGAAAAUGUUACAUACUGAGGGUAUUGUGAGGCGUAAGUGAGCUGAUGGCAUUUUUAAAGAUAUAAAAAGGAGGGAGCUGGGUGGCUCAGUGGAUUGAGAGCCAGGAGGUCCUGAGUAUGCAUCUGACCUCAGAUACUUCCUAGCUAUGUGACCCUGGGCAAGUCACUUGACCAGCAUUGCCUGUUCCUUACCACUCUUCUGCCUUGGAACCAAUACACUGUUGACUCUAUGAUGAAGGGUCUGGCAUCAUGGCUAGAGAAUCAUGAACACAUGCAGAGGUUGGAGCAUGGACAAGAAGAACCAUGGAUCAUGGCAGGGGAGUGUGCAUGAGUUGCUUGUUCAUUGUUUGCCAGAUGAGAAAACUGAGAGCUAGAAGAGAAACAAAGAUUCUUCAGGAUUUUAUUCAACCAAGAGACAGGAUUCAACUGGACCUCCAAAAGAAUAGGAUACAUCUUUGA
rnacentral:lncRNA from 1 species